rnacentral:rRNA from 1 species
UAGUUGGUUAGGUAAGAGCUAACCAAGGCGGAGAUCAGUAGCUGUUCUGAGAGGAAGAUCAGCCACACUGGGACUGAGAGACGGCCCAGACUCCUACGGGAGGCAGCAGUGGGGAAUAUUGGACAAUGGGGGCAACCCUGAUCCAGCAACGCCGCGUGAAUGAAGAAGGCUUUCGGGUUGUAAAGUUCUUUAGUCCAAGAGCAAGUGUGCUAUGUUAAGAGCUAAGUACAUUGAGAGUAUUGGAAGAAUAAACACCGGCUAACUACGUGCCAGCAGCCGCGGUAAUACGUAGGGUGCGAGCGUUAAUCGGAAUAACUGGGCGUAAAGGGUGAGUAGGCGGAAAUAUAAGUUAGAUGUGAAAGUCCCGAGCUUAACUUGGGAAGGCCAUUUAAUACUGUAUUUCUGGAGUUAGUGAGAGGGUGGUAGAAUUCCUGGUGUAGCAGUGAAAUGCGUAGAUAUCAGGAGGAAUACCGAAGGCGAAGGCAGCCACCUGGGAUAUAACUGACGCUGAGUCACGAAAGCGUGGGUAGCAAACAGGAUUAGAUACCCUGGUAGUCCACGCAGUAAACGAUGUUUACUAGCUGUUGGUGGGGAGACCCAUAAGUAGCGCAGCAAACGCGAGAAGUAAACCGCCUGGGGAGUACGGUCGCAAGAUUAAAACUCAAAGGAAUUGACGGGGACCCGCACAAGCGGUGGAUGAUGUGGAUUAAUUCGAUGCAACGCGAAGAACCUUACCUGCUCUUGACAUGCCAGGAAGAUCGUAGAGAUAUGAUUGUGCCUUUUGGAACCUGGACACAGGUGCUGCAUGGCUGUCGUCAGCUCGUGUCGUGAGAUGUUGUCUUAAGUGACGCAACGAGCGCAACCCUUGCAACUAGUUGCCCCAAUUAAGUUUGGCACUUUAGUUGGACUGCCGG